CGGGGUAACGGCCCACCAAGGCGACGAUGCGUAGGGGUUCUGAGAGGAAGGUCCCCCACACUGGUACUGAGACACGGACCAGACUCCUACGGGAGGCAGCAGUGAGGAAUAUUGGUCAAUGGGCGAGAGCCUGAACCAGCCAAGUCGCGUGAGGGAGUACUGCCCUAUGGGUUGUAAACCUCUUUUGUCGGGGAGCAAAAGCCGGACGUGUCCGGCUGUGAGAGUACCCGAAGAAAAAGCAUCGGCUAACUCCGUGCCAGCAGCCGCGGUAAUACGGAGGAUGCGAGCGUUAUCCGGAUUUAUUGGGUUUAAAGGGUGCGCAGGCGGAUUUUUAAGUCAGCGGUCAAAUCGUGGGGCUCAACCCCAUCCAGCCGUUGAAACUGGGGAUCUAGAGUGUGCGAGAGGUAUGCGGAAUGCGUGGUGUAGCGGUGAAAUGCAUAGAUAUCACGCAGAACCCCGAUUGCGAAGGCAGCAUACCGGUGCACAACUGACGCUCAGGCACGAAAGCGUGGGUAUCGAACAGGAUUAGAUACCCUGGUAGUCCACGCAGUAAACGAUGAAUGCUACCUGUUUGGCCAGAUUGAAGGCUGAGCGGG
rnacentral:rRNA from 1 species